rnacentral:rRNA from 1 species
ACGGGUGAGUAACGCGUGGGUAACCUGCCUCACACAGGGGGAUAACAGUUGGAAACGACUGCUAAUACCGCAUAAGACCACAGCACCGCAUGGUGCAGGGGUAAAAGAUUUAUCGGUGUGAGAUGGACCUGCGUCUGAUUAGAUAGUUGGUGGGGUAGAAGCCUACCAAGUCAGCGAUCAGUAGCCGACCUGAGAGGGUGAUCGGCCACAUUGGGACUGAGACACGGCCCAAACUCCUACGGGAGGCAGCAGUGGGGAAUAUUGGACAAUGGGGGAAACCCUGAUCCAGCAACGCCGCGUGAGUGAAGAAGUAUUUCGGUAUGUAAAGCUCUAUCAGCAGGGAAGAAAAUGACGGUACCUGACUAAGAAGCCCCGGCUAACUACGUGCCAGCAGCCGCGGUAAUACGUAGGGGGCAAGCGUUAUCCGGAUUUACUGGGUGUAAAGGGAGCGUAGACGGCAUAGCAAGUCUGAAGUGAAAGCCCGGGGCUCAACCCCGGAACUGCUUUGGAAACUGUUGAGCUAGAGUGUCGGAGAGGUAAGUGGAAUUCCCAGUGUAGCGGUGAAAUGCGUAGAUAUUGGGAGGAACACCGGUGGCGAACGCGGCUUACUGGACGAUAACUGACGUUGAGGCUCGAAAGCGUGGGGAGCAAACAGGAUUAGAUACCCUGGUAGUCCA